rnacentral:rRNA from 1 species
CCUACGGGGGGCUGCAGUAAGGAAUAUUGGUCAAUGGACGAAAGUCUGAACCAGCCAUGCCGCGUGGAGGAUGAAGGUCCUCUGGAUUGUAAACUUCUUUUAUAUGGGACGAAAAAAGGCCUUUCCAGGUCGUCUGACGGUACCAUAUGAAUAAGCACCGGCUAACUCCGUGCCAGCAGCCGCGGUAAUACGGAGGGUGCAAGCGUUACCCGGAUUCACGGGGUUUAAAGGGGGCUGAUGUGGCAGGGUUGAAAUCCCCGAGCUUAACUUGGGAACUGCCAUUGAUACUAUCAGUCUUGAAUACCGUGGAGGUCAGCGGAAUAUGUCAUGUAGCGGUGAAAUGCUUAGAUAUGACAUAGAACACCAAGUGCGAAGGCAGCUGGCUACACGAGUAUUGACACUGAGGCACGAAAGCGUGGGGAUCAAACAGGAUUAGAUACCCUUGUAGUC